rnacentral:rRNA from 1 species
AAAUGCAGUGAGAAUCUGCAUGGCCGAAAGCCUCAGGUUUCUGGAGGAAGGUUCGUCCGCUCCAGGUUAGUCGGGAGCUAAGGUGAGGCCUAACGGCGUAGCCGAUGCACAGACGGUAGAGAUUCCGUCACCACCAAAAGAGUUAAACACAGGGACACAUAUGAAGUCUCGGAGCCGGGUGUUGGUUCCGGUAGCAAUCGAGGGAAGUUAGUACCGAAGUCCGGGAUGGAAGAUGGCGAGAAAAGCUGUGUGUAUUUCUGCGGUGCCCGUACCGCAAACCGACACAGGUAGGUAGGAAGAAGAUUCUAAGGCCAACGGGAGAAGGGUUGUUAAGGAACUCGGCAAAUUGACCCCGUAACUUCGGGAGAAGGGGUGCUGCAGCAAUGCAGCCGCAGAGAAUCGGCCCAAGCAACUGUUUACCAAAAACACAGGUUUGUGCUAAAUCGAAAGAUGACGUAUACGAGCUGACGCCUGCCCGGUGCUGGAAGGUUAAGAGGAGAUGUGCAAGCAUUGAAUCGAAGCCCCAGUGAACGGCGGCCGUAACGAUAACGGUCCUAAGGUAGCGAAAUUCCUUGUCAGGUAAGUUCUGACCCGCAUGAAAGGCGUAAUGAUUUGGGCACUGUCUCAACAGCCCGCCCGGCGAAAUUGUAGUACCGGUGAAGAUGCCGGUUACCCGCGACAAGACGGAAAGACCCCAUGGAGCUUUACUGUAGCCUAAUAUUGGGUUUCGAUGUUGCAUGCACAGGAUAGAUGGGACACUGGGAAGCAGGUGCUUUGGCGCUUGUGGAGUGGCCGUUGGGAUACCAUCCUUGCGAUAUUGGAAUUCUAACCUGCGCCUUUGAAUCAAGGCGGGGGACAUUGUUAGGUGGGCAGUUUGACUGGGGCGGUCGCCUCCUAAAGAGUAACGGAGGCGUUCAAAGGUUCGCUCAGCUUGAACGGAAAUCAAGCAAAAGAGUGCAAACGCAGAAGCGAGCCUAACUGCGAGACUGACGGGUCGAGCAGUAACGAAAGUUGGAGUUAGUGAUCCGGUGGUAUGUGAGUGGAAAUGCCAUCGCUCAACGGAUAAAAGUUACCCUGGGGAUAACAGGCUGAUCUCCCCCAAGAGUCCACAUCGACGGGGAGGUUUGGCACCUCGAUGUCGGCUCAUCGCAUCCUGGGGCUGUAUUCGGUCCCAAGGGUUUGGCUGUUCGCCAAUUAAAGCGGUACGCGAGCUGGGUUCAGAACGUCGUGAGACAGUUCGGUCCCUAUCUGUCGUGGGCGCAGGAUAUUUGAUGGGAGCUGUUCCUAGUACGAGAGGACCGGAGCGGACGUACCUCUGGCGCACCAGUUGUUCUGCCAAAGCAUAGCU